rnacentral:rRNA from 1 species
UUAAGUUAUUAAGGGCGCACGGUGGAUGCCUUGGCACUAGAAGCCGAUGAAGGACGUUACUAACGACGAUAUGCUUUGGGGAGCUGUAAGUAAGCUUUGAUCCAGAGAUUUCCGAAUGGGGAAACCCAGCAUGAGUUAUGUCAUGUUAUCGAUGUGUGAAUACAUAGCAUAUUAGAAGGCACACCCGGAGAACUGAAACAUCUUAGUACCCGGAGGAAGAGAAAGAAAAUUCGAUUCCCUUAGUAGCGGCGAGCGAAACGGGAAGAGCCCAAACCAACAAGCUUGCUUGUUGGGGUUGUAGGACACUCUAUACGGAGUUACAAAGGACGACAUUAGACGAAUCAUCUGGAAAGAUGAAUCAAAGAAGGUAAUAAUCCUGUAGUCGAAAAUGUUGUCUCUCUUGAGUGGAUCCUGAGUACGACGGAGCACGUGAAAUUCCGUCGGAAUCUGGGAGGACCAUCUCCUAAGGCUAAAUACUCUCUAGUGACCGAUAGUGAACCAGUACCGUGAGGGAAAGGUGAAAAGCACCCCGGAAGGGGAGUGAAAUAGAACCUGAAACCGUGUGCUUACAAGUAGUCAGAGCCCGUUAAUGGGUGAUGGCGUGCCUUUUGUAGAAUGAACCGGCGAGUUACGAUUUGAUGCAAGGUUAAGCAGUAAAUGUGGAGCCGUAGCGAAAGCGAGUCUGAAUAGGGCGUUUAGUAUUUGGUCGUAGACCCGAAACCAGGUGAUCUACCCUUGGUCAGGUUGAAGUUCAGGUAACACUGAAUGGAGGACCGAACCGACUUACGUUGAAAAGUGAGCGGAUGAACUGAGGGUAGCGGAGAAAUUCCAAUCGAACCUGGAGAUAGCUGGUUCUCUCCGAAAUAGCUUUAGGGCUAGCCUCAAGUGAUGAUUAUUGGAGGUAGAGCACUGUUUGGACGAGGGGCCCCUCUCGGGUUACCGAAUUCAGACAAACUCCGAAUGCCAAUUAAUUUAACUUGGGAGUCAGAACAUGGGUGAUAAGGUCCGUGUUCGAAAGGGAAACAGCCCAGACCACCAGCUAAGGUCCCAAAAUAUAUGUUAAGUGGAAAAGGAUGUGGCGUUGCCCAGACAACUAGGAUGUUGGCUUAGAAGCAGCCAUCAUUUAAAGAGUGCGUAAUAGCUCACUAGUCGAGUGACACUGCGCCGAAAAUGUACCGGGGCUAAACAUAUUACCGAAGCUGUGGAUUGUCCUUUGGACAAUGGUAGGAGAGCGUUCUAAGGGCGUUGAAGCAUGAUCGUAAGGACAUGUGGAGCGCUUAGAAGUGAGAAUGCCGGUGUGAGUAGCGAAAGACGGGUGAGAAUCCCGUCCACCGAUUGACUAAGGUUUCCAGAGGAAGGCUCGUCCGCUCUGGGUUAGUCGGGUCCUAAGCUGAGGCCGACAGGCGUAGGCGAUGGAUAACAGGUUGAUAUUCCUGUACCACCUAUAAUCGUUUUAAUCGAUGGGGGGACGCAGUAGGAUAGGCGAAGCGUGCGAUUGGAUUGCACGUCUAAGCAGUAAGGCUGAGUAUUAGGCAAAUCCGGUACUCGUUAAGGCUGAGCUGUGAUGGGGAGAAGACAUUGAGUCUUCGAGUCGUUGAUUUCACACUGCCGAGAAAAGCCUCUAGAUAGAAAAUAGGUGCCCGUACCGCAAACCGACACAGGUAGUCAAGAUGAGAAUUCUAAGGUGAGCGAGCGAACUCUCGUUAAGGAACUCGGCAAAAUGACCCCGUAACUUCGGGAGAAGGGGUGCUCUUUAGGGUUAACGCCCAGAAGAGCCGCAGUGAAUAGGCCCAAGCGACUGUUUAUCAAAAACACAGGUCUCUGCUAAACCGUAAGGUGAUGUAUAGGGGCUGACGCCUGCCCGGUGCUGGAAGGUUAAGAGGAGUGGUUAGCUUCUGCGAAGCUACGAAUCGAAGCCCCAGUAAACGGCGGCCGUAACUAUAACGGUCCUAAGGUAGCGAAAUUCCUUGUCGGGUAAGUUCCGACCCGCACGAAAGGCGUAACGAUUUGGGCACUGUCUCAACGAGAGACUCGGUGAAAUCAUAGUACCUGUGAAGAUGCAGGUUACCCGCGACAGGACGGAAAGACCCCGUGGAGCUUUACUGUAGCCUGAUAUUGAAAUUCGGCACAGCUUGUACAGGAUAGGUAGGAGCCUUUGAAACGUGAGCGCUAGCUUACGUGGAGGCGCUGGUGGGAUACUACCCUAGCUGUGUUGGCUUUCUAACCCGCACCACUUAUCGUGGUGGGAGACAGUGUCAGGCGGGCAGUUUGACUGGGGCGGUCGCCUCCUAAAAGGUAACGGAGGCGCUCAAAGGUUCCCUCAGAAUGGUUGGAAAUCAUUCAUAGAGUGUAAAGGCAUAAGGGAGCUUGACUGCGAGACCUACAAGUCGAGCAGGGUCGAAAGACGGACUUAGUGAUCCGGUGGUUCCGCAUGGAAGGGCCAUCGCUCAACGGAUAAAAGCUACCCCGGGGAUAACAGGCUUAUCUCCCCCAAGAGUUCACAUCGACGGGGAGGUUUGGCACCUCGAUGUCGGCUCAUCGCAUCCUGGGGCUGUAGUCGGUCCCAAGGGUUGGGCUGUUCGCCCAUUAAAGCGGUACGCGAGCUGGGUUCAGAACGUCGUGAGACAGUUCGGUCCCUAUCCGUCGUGGGCGUAGGAAAUUUGAGAGGAGCUGUCCUUAGUACGAGAG